rnacentral:rRNA from 1 species
CCUACGGGUGGCUGCAGUGAGGAAUAUUGGUCAAUGGACGCAAGCCUGAACCAGCCAAGUAGCGUGAAGGAUGACUGCCCUACGGGUUGUAAACUUCUUUUAUAAAGGAAUAAAGUGAGUCACGUGUGCCGUUUUGUAUGUACUUUAUGAAUAAGGAUCGGCUAACUCCGUGCCAGCAGCCGCGGUAAUACGGAGGAUCCGAGCGUUAUCCGGAUUUAUUGGGUUUAAAGGGAGCGUAGAUGGGUUGUUAAGUCAGUUGUGAAAGUUUGCGGCUCAACCGUAAAAUUGCAAUUGAUACUGGCAGACUUGAGUGCAGUUGAGGUAGGCGGAAUGAGUGGUGUAGCGGUGAAAUGCUUAGAUAUCACGCAGAACUCCGAUUGCGCAGGCAGCUUACUAAACUGCAACUGACGUUGAUGCUCGAAAGUGUGGGUAUCAAACAGGAUUAGAUACCCGAGUAGUC